ensembl:lncRNA
UUGCAGCUGCAAGAGGCAAGUGCUUAACUUCAUCAAACUGAGGAAGAGGCUGCCAUACUGAAGACCCAAACACUGAACAUGAUGUCUGAAGAGGACGACGGCAUCUUCGAUGGAAGGCCGGCGAGACGAUCGGAGAGAAUAGAAGACGAGGAUAAAGAGGAGAGGAAGAUGGGAGGAAACAGAGACAAAGAGACAAGGAGAGAGAAAAGGAGGAGAGAUAAAGAAAGAGCGACAGAUAGCGUCAGAUCAAGAGAAAGGGUGAUGAGAGAAACAGAGAUGGUGAUAGAUAGAAUGACGCUGGAAUAAUCAGCAUGAACGUUCUAGCUCCUCUGGGCUCCGAGCCACCUGUUGGAGCCCUAACGACAUGCAGAGCUAGCAUUGGAAACCAAUACAAUGGGCCUUAUUUGCAUCCGACCACCUUGGGCCCCCUACAGGCCGUUCGGUGAACUACACACUCCACUAACAUGCGCUCGUGGCUGUCGCUUGGAGCCUGAGCGGAUGUUUCACGUGAAGAAAUUGAAUGUUUACAUCAUAACCGUCGCCGAGAAAUAAGCAAG